GCAUAAUAAUUUGUCUAUUAAUUGUAGACUAGAAUGAACGGAAUAACAAAAUAAGUGCUGUAUCAACUUGACUUAUAUAAACUAUUAUUAAAGUGAAGAAACUUUAAUUAAAUAAAAGGACAAGAAGACCCUAUAGAGCUUUAUUAUAAAUCAAUUAUUAAUUGAUACUAAUUCGGUUGGGGCGACCUAGGAAAAAUCAUCCUUUAUAUAAAAGAUCUACCAAUCAUUCUUCAGACCCUUUAUCAAGAUCACAGAAUUAAGCUACCUUAGGGAUAACAGGCUAAUCCUAUUAUAGAGCUCUUAUCGACAAUAGGGA
rnacentral:rRNA from 1 species